rnacentral:rRNA from 1 species
UGCAGAGUAGCUACGUUGGGAAUAGAUAAGCGCUGAAAGCAUCUAAGUGCGAAACUAGCCACAAGAUGAGACUUCCAUUGAGGGUCGUAGGAGACUACUACGUUGAUAGGUUACAGGUAUAAAGGUGGUGACAUCAUAGCCGAGUAAUACUAAUUGCCCGAAGCUUUCUUC